GAUGAACGCUGGCGGCGUGCCUAAUACAUGCAAGUCGAGCGAACAGACGAGGAGCUUGCCCCUCUGAUGUUAGCGGCGGACGGGUGAGUAACACGUGGAUAACCUACCUAUAAGACUGGGAUAACUUCGGGAAACCGGAGCUAAUACCGGAUAACAUGUUGAACCGCAUGGUUCAACAGUGAAAGACGGUCUUGCUGUCACUUAUAGAUGGAUCCGCGCCGCAUUAGCUAGUUGGUAAGGUAACGGCUUACCAAGGCAACGAUGCGUAGCCGACCUGAGAGGGUGAUCGGCCACACUGGAACUGAGACACGGUCCAGACUCCUACGGGAGGCAGCAGUAGGGAAUCUUCCGCAAUGGGCGAAAGCCUGACGGAGCAACGCCGCGUGAGUGAAGAAGGUCUUCGGAUCGUAAAACUCUGUUAUUAGGGAAGAACAAAUGUGUAAGUAACUAUGCACGUCUUGACGGUACCUAAUCAGAAAGCCACGGCUAACUACGUG
rnacentral:rRNA from 1 species